rnacentral:rRNA from 1 species
GAGGAAUAUUGGUCAAUGGGCGCGAGCCUGAACCAGCCAAGUAGCGUGAAGGAUGAAGGUCCUAUGGAUUGUAAACUUCUUUUAUAGCAGAAUAAAGUGACCCACGUGUGGGUUUUUGUAUGUAUGCUAUGAAUAAGGAUCGGCUAACUCCGUGCCAGCAGCCGCGGUAAUACGGAGGAUCCGAGCGUUAUCCGGAUUUAUUGGGUUUAAAGGGUGCGUAGGCGGAAAGAUAAGUCAGCCUGUGAAAGUUUGCGGCUCAACCGUAAAAUUGCAGUUGAUACUGUUUUUCUUGAGUGUACAUAAGGUAGGCGGAAUUCGUGGUGUAGCGGUGAAAUGCUUAGAUAUCACGAAGAACUCCGAUUGCGAAGGCAGCUUACCGGGGUACAACUGACGCUGAUGCACGAAAGUGUGGGUAUCAAACA